rnacentral:tRNA from 1 species
GUAGUGUUAGUUCAGUGGUAGAAUCCUUGCCUUCCAUGAAGGAGACCCGGGUUCGAUUCCCGGCCAAGGCA